CUUUAUGGUGGCAGUGGGAACAGCUUGUCUCUUAUUCUUUUGCUGUUGUACUGCAAUCCAUGCCAAUGAGAGACAGGCAGCUGGAAGCAUGAUUUUGUGCAGACACAUCUCAGCUGAAUCUACUGGAUGAAGCUGGGAUGUGGACUGCCAUUCAACAAGAUCUUCACACCAAGGAACAAACUGACAAUGUAGUCACAGGCAUGGAAUUGCAAAGUCUGGAAGGAAUUGAAGCAGUUGUUACAUUGCAUGCCAUUUACUUCAUGUUACACAUCAGGAAGAUGGGGUAGUGAACAUGCAGGAGUAAUAAGAAAAUUUCCAAAAUGUUCUUUAAAAGCUUCAGUAUCAGCAGUUCUGAACUAAGUACUCCCCCCUUGAACAGAAGGCUAUGAACUUCAAUUCCAUCUCAAGGAACAAUUUUAUUACAACAUGAAACUUUUUCAGAAUAUAUUCAUACCAAGACCAGUGUUCAGUACAAUACAGGAAAACAAAGUCCUGUUUACUUUUAAGACAUUUUCCAUAAAAAUCCUUUUAAUACAACUUCUGAAACAAGAGUUUUAUUCUUAAAUAAUAGUUCAGCCACUGUCCUGUUGAUCCCCUUUUACAGCUGGUCAGUGUAAAGGAGAUGUCCAUUUUUAGGUUUUUUCAAAACAACAAUGCUAACUUCCUGAGUGGUUAAUAGAGAAGGCAGAGGAAGCAAGCAGAAAACCUAUCCUAAAUAAGAGAGAUGCAAAAAAAAUAAAAUAAAAUAAAAUAAAAUAAAAUAAAAUAAAAAGGAAACAACAAGUGAUUCUGCAGAAACAGGAUUACAACAGAGUAAUUGUUGGCAACGUCAUUUCAGAAGCAAAAACACUUCAUUCUGCAUAGUCUUCUAGCAAAGAACCAUUUUGUUCACUAAACCCCAAGACCAGAAAGUGCUUCUGUGUCUCCACAGGCUGAUGAUGUGGAAUUAAUACAUGCUCUUGGCCACCAACAUGAUUGUUUGCUUUUUUUCUGGGUAAACUACUACAAGGAUUAACACAGGAGAAGCAGUCAAUUUAAAACAGCCACACAAAC